CCUACGGGUGGCUGCAGUCGAGAAUCAUUCACAAUGGGGGAAACCCUGAUGGUGCGACGCCGCGUGGGGGAAUGAAGGUCUUCGGAUUGUAAACCCCUUUCAUGUGGGAGCAAAUUAAGGAGAUAGUACCACAAGAGGAGGAGACGGCUAACUCUGUGCCAGCAGCCGCGGGAAUACAGAGGUCUGAAUCGUGGGUCGGAAUCACUGGGCGUAAAGCGUGCGGAGGCGGUUUCGUAAGGCGGGUGUGAAAGGCGCGGGCUCAACCCGCGGACGGCAGAUGAUACUGGGAGACUAGAGUAAUGGAGGGGGAAGCGGAAUUCUCGGUGUAGCAGUGAAAUGCGUAGAUAUCGAGAGGAACACUCGUGGCGAAGGCGGGUUCCUGGACACUAACUGACGCUGAGGCACGAAGGCCAGGGGAGCGAAAGGGAUUAGAUACCCUUGUAGUC
rnacentral:rRNA from 1 species